rnacentral:hammerhead_ribozyme from 1 species
AGCCGAAACGCCCUCCGGGGCGUCCGCGGGAGGUGGCCUACCCGCGCUGAGGAUGGCAGGCCGUA